UACGGAGGGUGCGAGCGUUAUCCGGAAUUACUGGGUUUAAAGGGUGCGUAGGCGGCUAUGUAAGUCAGAAGUGAAAGUUUGCGGCUCAACCGUAAAAUUGCUUUUGAUACUGCAUGGCUGGAAUCAGGAUGAGGUCAGCGGAAUGUGGCAUGUAGCGGUGAAAUGCAUAGAUAUGCCAUAGAACACCAAUUGCGAAGGCAGCUGGCUAGACCUGUAUUGACGCUGAGGCACGAAAGCGUGGGGAGCGAACAGG
rnacentral:rRNA from 1 species